rnacentral:rRNA from 1 species
GAUGAACGCUGGCGGCGUGCCUAAUACAUGCAAGUCGAGCGAACGGACGAGAAGCUUGCUUCUCUGAUGUUAGCGGCGGACGGGUGAGUAACACGUGGAUAACCUACCUAUAAGACUGGGAUAACUUCGGGAAACCGGAGCUAAUACCGGAUAUAUUUUGAACCGCAUGGUUCAAAAGUGAAAGACGGUCUUGCUGUCACUUAUAGAUGGAUCCGCGCUGCAUUAGCUAGUUGGUAAGGUAACGGCUUACCAAGGCAACGAUGCAUAGCCGACCUGAGAGGGUGAUCGGCCACACGGGAACUUAGACACGGUCCAGACUCCUACGGGAGGCAGCAGUAGGGAAUCUUCCGCAAUGGGCGAAAGCCUGACGGAGCAACGCCGCGUGAGUGAUGAAGGUCUUCGGAUCGUAAAACUCUGUUAUUAGGGAAGAACAUAUGUGUAAGUAACUGUGCACAUCUUGACGGUACCUAAUCAGAAAGCCACGGCUAACUACGUG